rnacentral:lncRNA from 1 species
AUGCUCUGCGCGCCCCGCUCCCGUGGGUCGCGGCUUCCGACGGACAGGUGUGCCAGGAUGGCCCGCGCGGACGAGAUGCGGAUGACGUGGGCGCGGUGGCGAGCCCUAUCCAUGGUGCUGACUCUGCUCUGGGGACGCCCCCACGUGGCCCUGGCCUGCCCCCACCCCUGCGCCUGCUACGUCCCCAGCGAAGCCCACUGCACGUUCCGAUCCUUGGCCUCUGUGCCCGCUGGGAUCUCUCCACAUGUGGAAAGAAUCAAUCUGGGGUUUAAUAGCAUACAGGCUUUGUCGGAAACGUCGUUUGCUGGACUGACGAAGCUGGAGCUCCUCAUGAUCCAUGGAAAUGACAUCCCCAGCAUCCCCGAUGGGGCUCUGAGAGACCUCAUUUCACUCCAGGUUUUCAAGUUCAGCUACAAUAAGCUUCGUGUCAUCACGGGCAAGACCCUGCAGGGGCUGUGGAACCUGGUGAGGCUCCACAUGGACCACAACCAGAUCGAGUUCAUCCACCCGGAAGCGUUCAGGGGCUUAACCUCCCUGAGGCUCCUCCACUUAGAGGGGAACCUGCUUCACCAGCUGCACCCCGCCACUUUCUCCACCUUCGCCUUCCUGGACCACUUCAGGCUCUCCACCUUGAGACACCUCUACCUGGCCGAGAACGCCAUGAGCACUCUCCCCGCCGGCAUGCUCCAGAACAUGCCGCUUCUGGAGAACCUCUACCUGCACGGCAAUCCGUGGGCCUGUGACUGUGACAUGACCUGGUUUCUGCAGUGGGACGCCAAAUCCAAAGGGGUCCUGAAGUGUAAGAAGGACAAAGCGUACGAAGGGGGUCAGCUGUGUUCCACGUGCUUCAGUCCCAAGAAGUGGCACCGACAAGAGCUUCAGAAGCUGCAGGACGUCCACUGUCAGAAGCCCUCUAUCGAGUCCCCGCUGAGACAGAACCAGAGCCGGAGUAGCGAGGAAGAUCAGGACGAAGACGAGGAGGCUGACCACCCCUUCUCCCCGGACGGGCUCCAGUUCCCCGGGUGGAACGUGUCCGUGAACAUGAGCGACGAGCACGGAAACACGGUCCACCUGGUCUGCGACAUCAAGAAGCCCACUGACGUGUACAGGCUGCACUUGAACCAGACGGACCCCCAGGAGAUAGAGAUCAAUGCCACGGUCGCCUUGGACUUUGAGUGUCCCAUGACGCGGCAGAGCUACGAGAAGCUCUGGAAGCUGAUCGCCUACUACAGCGAGGUCCCCGUGAAGCUCCACCGGGAACCCGCGCUCGGCAAAGACCCCAGGCUCGGCUACCAGUACAAGCAAGAUGCCGACGAUGACACCACGCUGUACUACACGGGCGUCAGGGCGCACAUCCUCGCCGAGCCGGAGUGGGUCACGCAGCCGUCCAUAGAGCUGCAGCUCAACCGGCGUCUGAGCUCGGCCAAACUGGUGGUGCUGUCCUAUUCGUCUCAGCACUCCCUGGUCCUGUCUGCCAAGGACGCGAGGCUGUCUCGGAGCAGAAGCUGGGUGAUGAUCGAGCCCGGCAGAGCCGUGCAGAGAGCCCAGACCGUCCUGGAGGGGAGCUCCUGCCACCUGAGCUGCAACGUGAGGGCCUCCGAGAGCCCCUCCAUCUCCUGGGUGCUCCCGGACGGGUCCGUCGUGAAAGCGCCGAUGGAAGACCACGACGGCAGGUUCUCCGUCCUCACCAGCGGCUGGCUGAAGAUCAGGUCGACGCAGCCGUCGGAUGCUGGUCUGUACCAGUGCGUCGCUCGGGUGAGGGAUGAGACGGACCGGAUGCUCUACAGGGUCCUGGUGCAGCCGCCGGUUGUUCAGCCUGACGCAUAUACAGUGACCGUUCAGAAGAACCCAGGGGAGCCCGUGAUGCUGCCUUGCCAGGCGCUGGCCGUACCGGAAGCCCAGAUCAGCUGGAUCCUUCCAAACAAAAGGCUGCUGAACACGAUGGCCAACGCCUCACACGCCUACGUGCUGGCCGACGGCACUCUUUCCAUCCCCAAGGUUCAAGGCAGCGACAGCGGUUACUACAGAUGUGUGGCAGUCAACCAGCGAGGGGCAGAUCAUUUUACGGUGGGGGUCCAGGUGAGCAAGAAGGGGUCUCCGAAAAGACGCGGGCGCCCAGGAGGCAGGAUUCUUCCCGGAGGGCGAGGUGGGAUCGUGGAGGAUGAAGGCGGAUCCGGCAUGGGAGGUGAAGAGAACGCAUCAAGGACGCUCCUCCACCCGCAGGACCAAGAGGUGUUAAUCAGAGCAACGGAUGACGCCGGCGGCGGGGGUAAGAAGACCAGGAAAGGGCGCAGAAAGCUGAAACCCUGGAAGCACCCUGCAAAGGAGCCGGAGACCAACGUCGCUGAAGGCCGCAGAGUCUUCGAGUCCAGGCGGAGGAUAAACGUGGCCAACAAGCAGAUUAACCCAGAACGCUGGGCAGAUAUCUUAGCCAGAGUCCGUGGGAGAAAUCUCCCUAAGGGGACGGAAGGACCGCAGGUCAUCACAGUCCACUCGCCUUCACUAAUGAGGCAGGAAGUGACUCCACCUCCGCCUGCCGUCACUCCCGGCUCAGCAUCGCCUGUGCAGACCACAAGCAGUGCAGAAGAAUCCUCGGGAGAUAUGACUGUUCUGCUCCAACCUGGCCACGACGGAGUCAUUCAUAGUGAACCCAGAGUGACAAGCACUCUCGCGGAAGAAUUUAUCGACGAGGACUCUUCUGAGAAGACCGUGGGUGCAACUCCCACUGAAGUUGACUCCAACCAGACCCCAGCCACAACACCGGCAUCUGUACUUUAUGAAUCUUCUACUCUGCAGACCCUGGAAAUGGAACACAAAGAGCCCACCGAGGAAAACGUAGCCACAGACAGCUGGUCUACCCUCCAUGCUGGAUCCGUGCCGGAGUCCACAUCCCCUGAGGAUGAAUCUCCGAUGGAUGCCGUACCCUUGGCUGAGUCUGAGACUGUGACCUACUUUUACCCUGACCUGGGGACAAGUUCACAACCAGCUAAGACCGUGAAAGAACAGGCCCCCACACGCUUCACGCCAACUCCCGCCUCAUGGGUUGCUGAGGCCAGGACGUCUGAGCCUUUUGAAGACCCCACCUUAGGGGACCCUGACGUCCCAGCUGAAACGCGCCUCCAGGAACAGACAGCCAGCCAGCAGCUUGUGAAAACUGGUUUAAGCACUCCAGGCCACCCACUGACUCCCGAGGACACGGAGGAGACUUCUCAGACACUUCAGGAAGGGGGCACGCUAGAGACACACCCCACAGACUCCAGAAGCGUCGAGGGAAAUGGGCAAGCCGUAGACCCGACCACUCCGCCUGACUCGACGCUGGAAGUGGUGAACAGCGUCACUGACUUGCAGCCUCCCGGGGAGUCCACGCUUGGCGUCGUGUUUGGCAAGAACACCACCACGGCACCUGUGCCCACACCAGCCCAAAAGGACACUUCACCAUCAGCACUGACCAGUCUUCCUUCUCGAAAGAGGCCCCACGGGAGGAGGCGAUUCCGACCCCACAAAUUCCGACACCGCCAUAAACAGACCCCGCAUACGACGUUUGCCCCAACAGACGCUUUCUCGACUCCACUGACCCAAGUCCCCGAAGUGAAGACUCCAAGCCUUCACGUGGCGAGUUCUCUGGUUCCUACGACCUGGGUUAACAGCGCUGUAGGUACCACCGGACGCUUGGACAUGGAGGACCACGCUGAACCCGUAUCCAGGGGCAGCCCACACAGGAGACAGGGCAAGAGGCGCAACAGACACCGAUACAUCACUUCCACCCUGAGCUCUGUGGCGUCUGUGUCCAAGCCCAGCCUUUCUCCAGAAGAUAAGCAUAAAACCUCUUUCCCCCCCAGUUCCCAAGCUGCGCUUUCCCCUACCACCGUCUCUUUCACUACUGGAGACCCACGGGAGAUAACCAGCGUGGAAGCUUAUAGCACAGCCAGCAUCAGCAAAACACAUUCAUCUCCUGGCAGAUUCCGAGAGACUGUUCCAGUCACACGUGAGCCCGCGUCAGACGGAGAGGAAAUGAAAGAGCAUGGUGUCACAGACCUCGGGGACUAUCAAACUGUGGUCCCUGGAGGCUCACUCACUCACGCGGCAUCACCUUCUGUGGCCGAGGUCUCCCGUGCGAGAGGGUUUAAGGAGGCGUCUCUGACGUCUCCCUUUCCAAAAACGACGAGCUGGGAUCCCCCAGGGGCAACCCAGCCUGGGAUGGAACACACAGACCCACCUGUUACCAGCCCUUUGGAAGCUCUUACAGAAUCACCCUCUGAGAGACAGUCGGUGCAUCUAGGUUUGCUUACUGAGUUUUCUCCUUCAGCGGCGGUCUCUACGCUGUUUCAACCCCAACGGGCGGCUCCUUCGACAACUGUCCCCAUCCUAAAUGUAGAGGCAUCCUCGAGUCUGGCGGAAACCACCGUCCGUGAUCAGAGAGGCCGUGAAACCACUCACGCUACCGUCCGUUCUGAAAUCGGACCGCAGAGUCACAUGACCACUCACGCCCCGGUGGAGGAGCUAGAAUCACCAUUCCCACCCACAACUUUGAUGCCCUUCGCAGAGACCACCACAGAGCCCACACCACCUCUUACUUCAGGGACGUCCCCAGCCUGGGAAGCUUCCAAACACCACGUCUCCUUCCAUUACGUGGGGACCCCAGAAACCAAAGCGCCUUCCGUGAAUAACGAAGUGACUCAGCAUCUGGUGAAGCCAGACCAGUUAUCCACGCCCUCUUCCAAGCAGGACAGGUUCACCUUGACCCCAGAGGAGGCGUUAAGAAAGGAAGCGUUUGAUGGUGCAAUGAAAAACGUGCUUCCCCGUGCUCCAGACGGUCCAGACGAGGCUGGGAGGGCCCCGGUUUUCCACCAACCAGCCAGAGUUCCUGCCACACCGAUCCCACCGAGAGGAACCGUGAGACCCCCGCACGAGGUCACACAAAGCCCCUUCAGAUACUCGGUCACCUUCCAGCCCCCUCAUCACCUGACCCGCAAACUGGGAGUCACCGCAUACCCGUCGAGGGUUUGGCCAGAGGGCAGGCACAUGACGACUCCGAGACCACCUAGUUAUCCGACGACUCCCGUGGUGGUUUUGUGGCCUGGGUCCAAACCUAGCAUUCCGGGUACGGUGACCAGCCAAGGAGCUGACCGAUUCCAGGGCAACUCGAGAUCGUUUGCAAAUAACCACCUGCCCGAUCUAAGAAGAGACCCCGUGGGCAAGCUUCCAAAUUCGAGAGCGCCUCCUCUUCCCGGCGGAAGAUUCCCUUUCUUUAUCAACAGGACCGUCUCUUUCCCCCAGUUAGGAGGUACUCCAAAACCUCAGGGACCCAGCUCUCCAGCCCCAGCGUUGAGAGACAGGAAGGCCAAUGUAGGUCCUUACACUAGAACACACUCUCAGAGCAUCUUCCACGUGGACCUGGGGCCCCCAGCGCCUCCAGUCUUGCACCCCCCCAGGACCACAGUGUUCCCUUCCACCAAUGUACGGACCAUCCCCCCAGUCUCCUCCACCCGGAGUUCCAUCCCCUUUGCGAUGUCUUCCGCCCCGCCCUCCAGAAGCUUCCAUCACGGCAGCGGAAAGCUCUUCUCUGCCGGAGGGCCACCUGCGUCCAAAUUCUGGACGCUCGGGGAAAAGCCGCAGAUCGUCACCAAAUCCCCGCAGGCCGUGACCGUCACUGCAGAGACGGACGUCACAUUCCCCUGUGAGGCCACGGGGAAGCCCAAGCCCUUCGUGACUUGGACCAAGCUGUCCACAGGCGCUCUGAUGACGCCCAACACCAGACUGCAGCGGUUCGAGGUCCUGAAGAACGGCACUUUCGUCAUCCGGGGCGUCCAGGUGCAGGACCGCGGGCAGUACAUGUGCACGGCCAAAAACCUGCAUGGCGCCGACCGCAGGGUGGUCCUCCUGUCGGUCACGGUGCAGCAGCCCCAGAUCCUGGCCUCCCACUACAAGGACGUCACCGUCUACCUGGGCGACACCAUCGCCAUGGAGUGUCUGGCCAAGGGGACGCCGGCGCCGCAGAUCUCCUGGGUCUUCCCCGACGGGCGCGUGUGGCAGACCGUGUCUCCCGUGGAGGGCAGGGUCACGCUGCACGAGAACCGGACGCUGAGCAUCAAGGAGGCGUCCUUCCAAGACAGGGGCGUCUACAAGUGCGUGGCGAGCAACGCGGCGGGCGCCGACAGCCUGGCCAUCCGCCUGCACGUGGCGGCCCUGCCCCCGGUCAUCCACCAGGAGAAGGCCGAGAACAUUUCGCUCCCGCCCGGCCUUAGUAUCCAUAUCCACUGCACCGCCCGCGCCGCGCCCCUGCCCAGCGUGCGCUGGGUGCUCCGCGACGGCACCCAGAUCCGCCCCUCGCAGUUCGUCCACGGCAACCUCUUCGUCUUCCCCAACGGGACCCUCUACAUCCGCAACCUGGCGCCGCAGGACAGCGGGCGCUACGAGUGCGUGGCCGCCAACCUGGUGGGCUCGGCGCGCCGGACCGUGCAGCUCUUGGUGCAGCGUGCGGCCGCCAACGCGCGCAUCACCGGCACCUCCCCGCAGAGGACCGACGUGCGCUACGGCGGCACCCUCCGCCUGGAUUGCAGCGCCUCCGGGGACCCCUGGCCGCGCAUCGUCUGGAGGCUGCCAUCCAAGCGGAUGAUCGACGCACUUUUCAGCUUCGACACCAGGAUCAAGGCGUUCACCAACGGGACACUGGUGGUGAAAUCGGUCACCGACAAAGACGCGGGGGAUUACCUGUGCGUCGCCCGGAACAAGGUGGGCGACGACUUCGUGGCGCUCAAGGUGAACGUGGUCAUGAAAGCCGCCAAGAUCCAGCGCAAGGAAGCCAACGACCACCAGGUCCUGUACGGGGGCGACCUCAAGGUGGACUGCCUGGCCACGGGGCUCCCCAACCCCGAGAUCUCCUGGAGCCUCCCGGACGGGAGCCUGGUCAACUCCUUCAUGCAGGCGGACGACAGCGGCGGGCGGGCCAAGCGUUACGUGGUCUUCCACAACGGGACGCUCUACUUCAACGAGGUGGGCCCGCGGGAGGAAGGCGACUACACGUGCUUUGCCGAAAACCAGGUCGGCAAGGACGAGAUGCGCGUGCGCGUCAAGGUGGUGAGCGAGCCGGCCGCCAUCCGCAACAAGACGUACUCGGUCAUCCACGUGCCCUACGGGGACGUGGUCUCCGUGGCCUGCGAGGCUCGAGGGGAGCCCGCGCCCAGGGUAACCUGGCUGUCUCCCGCCCACCGGCUCAUCCCCGCCUCGUCCGACAAAUACCAGGUCUACGAGGACGGCACGCUCCUCAUCCAAAAGGCCCAGCGCUCCGACAGCGGCAACUACACGUGCCUGGUCAGGAACAGCGCCGGGGAGGACCGGAAGACCGUCUGGAUCCAUGUCCACGUGCAGCCACCCACCAUCAACGGCUACCCCGAGGCCAUCACCACGGUGCGGGAGGUGGCCCCCGGCGGGAGCCGCAAGCUCAUCGACUGCAGGGCGGAAGGCGUGCCCGCGCCGCGCGUGCUCUGGGCCUUCCCCGAGGGCGUGGUCCUCCCCGCCCCCUACUACGGAAACCGCAUCACCAUCCAUCGCAACGGAACCCUGGACAUCAAGAGCGUGCGGAUGAGCGACUCGGUGCAGCUGGCGUGCAUCGGGCGCAACGAGGGCGGGGAGGCCCGCCUGGUGGUCCAGCUCACCGUCCUGGAGCCGCUGGAGAAGCCCGUCUUCCACGACCCGGUCAGCGAGAAGAUCACAGCCAUGGCCGGCCACACCAUCAGCCUCAACUGCUCGGCCACGGGCACCCCGACGCCCGCGCUGCUGUGGGCCCUGCCCAACGGGACGGAGCUGCGGAGCGGCCAGCGGCUACACAGGUUCUUCCACAAGGGGGACGGCCGGCUGCACGUCAGCGGCCUCUCGUCCGAGGACGCCGGCGCCUACCGCUGCGUGGCCAGCAACGCGGCGGGCCACACGGAGAGGCUGGUGUCCCUGAAGGUGGGGCUGAAGCCCGAGACGAGCAAGCGCUACCACAACCUGGUCAGCAUCGUCAAUGGGGAGACCCUGCGGCUGCCCUGCGUGCCCCCGGGCGCCCGGGGGGCGCGCCCCUCCUGGACGCUGCCCAGCGGCAUGGUGCUGGAUGGCCCGCAGGUGCGGGGACGCUUCGCCCUCUGGGAGAACGGCACCCUCACCGUGCAGGAUGCCUCGGUCUUCGACCGGGGCACCUACGUGUGCCACGCGGACGGUGAACACGGCCCUUCCGUCGUGAGCGUGCCGGUGAUCGUCAUCGCCUAUCCUCCGCGGAUCACCAGCGAGCCCACGCCGGUCAUCUACGCCCGCCCCGGCAGCGCCGUGAAGAUGAACUGCAUGGCCAUGGGUAUCCCCAAAGCCGAGAUAAGCUGGGAGCUGCCGGACAAGUCUCAUCUCACCGCGGGGACGCAGCCGCGUCUCUAUGGCAACAGAUUCUUGCACCCGCAGGGGUCCCUAACCGUCCAGCAGGCCACCCAGAGAGACGCUGGAUUCUACAAAUGCACUGCGAAAAACCUCCUGGGCAGCGACUCCAAGACCACCUACGUCCACAUCUACUGAACCGCCACGCUGGGCGGCGAGGCCUCCACCUACCUCGCCUGAAAGCGAAAGUGUUCGUCCUUAAGUCGUGCGGGACUCUCUGCAACCCACGCCCCCUGGACUGUAGCCUGCCAGGCCCCUCUGUGCAUGGGAUUCUCCAGGCGAGAAUACUGGAGUGGGUUGUGAUCGCUUAGGAAGUUAAAAUGAAGCCUGCUUUGGGGGGGAGGGUCACAGCUGGGGCCAGAAGGUCAGAGCUCGAAAAGGGUUUGUCUCCUGCUACAGUGGCGUGACAGGAAAGACUGAAGGCUAAAGAAGAAGAGGGUGACGGAGGAUGAGAUGGGUGGAUGGCAUCACAGACUCAAUGGACAUGAGUUUGAGCAAACUCCGGGGAGAUGGUGAAGGACAGGGGAGGCCUGGCGAGCUGCAGUCCACGGGGUUGCAGAGACUCUGACACAACCGAGCAACCCAACAACAAACCACAGCGGCGGCCCCUCUCCAGGUCGGUGGGUUUCAGGCUCGUGUUGACCUUGACCCAUGCUUGAUGAUGAGGGGAAACAACCGCAAACGCUGUAAGGAGGUGUCUGCCGCUGCCGGGGGACUUUGUGACAUGUUUACAGAAUGCCAAGUGCUCUGGUCUUGCUUUUCACGGGACUUGGGUGCGGAUCGCAACUUCUGAGUUGCUGGUACCACCCUGCCACUUGAACGAGCGUCUGUAGGAUCCCUAAGGAGCACUCACUGCAAACAAAUCAUAGAGAUUCACCGUGCCUUGCUACCCGCCUGCAAAAUGCGUUCCCUAGUUAACCUGCUGCAGUUUCAACACAAUAGAACCUUCUAGAACGAGUAUCCAUCUUUCUGUUAUUUCAACGUUCCGCUUUGCCCAACAAGGGCUGAGAACCACAAUGAUUGAAUUUCCCCCCCCCACGUACCAGUGUCGUACAAUACAUCUCGUUUUAUAAGAAUGCUUUCUUCCUGGAACUCACUUUUUAUAUAGUGUUUUAUAUAUAUAUAUAUAUUUUUUCUUUCUAAUCAGACGAUGAGAGUAGAAAGCAAAACAUGUACUUUCUGUCUCAUUUAAAAAUAAUAAAUUAUUGGUCUUUACAAGACUUGGAUACA